UGGGGAAUAUUGGACAAUGGGCGAAAGUCUGAUCCAGCCAUGCCGCGUGUGUGAAGAAGGUCUUCGGAUUGUAAAGCACUUUAAGUUGGGAGGAAGGGCAGUAAGCGAAUACCUUGCUGUUUUGACGUUACCGACAGAAUAAGCACCGGCUAACUCUGUGCCAGCAGCCGCGGUAAUACAGAGGGUGCAAGCGUUAAUCGGAAUUACUGGGCGUAAAGCGCGCGUAGGUGGUUCGUUAAGUUGAAUGUGAAAGCCCCGGGCUCAACCUAGGAACUGCAUUAGAUACUGGUUAGCUAGAGUGUGGGAGAGGAUGGUAGAAUUCCAGGUGUAGCGGUGAAAUGCGUAGAGAUCUGGUGGAAUACCAAUAGCGAAGGCAGACAUCUGGCCUAACACUGACGCUGAGGUACGAAAGCAUGGGGAGCAAACAGG
rnacentral:rRNA from 1 species